GACGAACGCUGGCGGCGCGCUUAACACAUGCAAGUCGAACGGAAAGGCCCUGCUUUUGUGGGGUGCUCGAGUGGCGAACGGGUGAGUAACACGUGAGUAACCUGCCCUUGACUUUGGGAUAACUUCAGGAAACUGGGGCUAAUACCGGAUAGGAGCUCCUGCUGCAUGGUGGGGGUUGGAAAGUUUCGGCGGUUGGGGAUGGACUCGCGGCUUAUCAGCUUGUUGGUGGGGUAGUGGCUUACCAAGGCUUUGACGGGUAGCCGGCCUGAGAGGGUGUCCGGCCACAUUGGGACUGAGAUACGGCCCAGACUCCUACGGGAGGCAGCAGUGGGGAAUAUUGCACAAUGGGCGGAAGCCUGAUGCAGCAACGCCGCGUGCGGGAUGACGGCCUUCGGGUUGUAAACCGCUUUCGCCUGUGACGAAGCGUGAGUGACGGUAAUGGGUAAAGAAGCACCGGCUAACUACGUGCCAGCAGCCGCGGUGAUACGUAGGGUGCGAGCGUUGUCCGGAUUUAUUGGGCGUAAAGGGCUCGUAGGUGGUUGAUCGCGUCGGAAGUGUAAUCUUGGGGCUUAACCCUGAGCGUGCUUUCGAUACGGGUUGACUUGAGGAAGGUAGGGGAGAAUGGAAUUCCUGGUGGAGCGGUGGAAUGCGCAGAUAUCAGGAGGAACACCAGUGGCGAAGGCGGUUCUCUGGGCCUUUCCUGACGCUGAGGAGCGAAAGCGUGGGGAGCGAACAGGCUUAGAUACCCUGGUAGUCCACGCUGUAAACGGUGGGUACUAGGUGUGGGGUCCAUUCCACGGGUUCCGUGCCGUAGCUAACGCUUUAAGUACCCCGCCUGGGGAGUACGGCCGCAAGGCUAAAACUCAAAGGAAUUGACGGGGCCCCGCACAAGCGGCGGAGCAUGCGGAUUAAUUCGAUGCAACGCGUAGAACCUUACCUGGGUUUGACAUGGAUCGGGAGUGCUCAGAGAUGGGUGUGCCUCUUUUGGGGUCGGUUCACAGGUGGUGCAUGGCUGUCGUCAGCUCGUGUCGUGGGAUGUUGGGUUAAGUCCCGCAACGAGCGCAACCCUUGUUCACUGUUGCCAGCACGUUAUGGUGGGGACUCAGUGGAGACCGCCGGGGUCAACUCGGAGGAAGGUGGGGAUGACGUCAAGUCAUCAUGCCCCUUAUGUCCAGGGCUUCACGCAUGCUACAAUGGCUGGUACAGAGAGUGGCGAGCCUGUGAGGGUGAGCGAAUCUCGGAAAGCCGGUCUCAGUUCGGAUUGGGGUCUGCAACUCGACCUCAUGAAGUCGGAGUCGCUAGUAAUCGCAGAUCAGCAACGCUGCGGUGAAUACAACGCGCGGGGCU
rnacentral:rRNA from 1 species